rnacentral:lncRNA from 1 species
GUGGGUUCCCUCUACGGUCUAGAUUUUACCAUAAGACUUAUAGCAGUAGGUUGGAAGCAAAUCUUCACUGCUCUGCUUUUGAAAAAAAUAGGAUGUGUUGGAGUCGAGUCACUUUAGAUCUAUCAAUCUGUAUACCAUCAUGUACAAGAUUUGUGUCAAGAUUUUAAUAUACAGGAUGAAGCCCAUUCUUCCCCAAUAGAUCAAUCUUGAGCAAGGUGCCUUCAUCAUGGGGCAUAGUUUCUCUGACAACAUGCUAAUUAUGUAUGAGUUUAUGCAUGACCUUCAUAAAGCUUCGAUCCGUCGGUG